AACGAACGCUGGCGGCAUGCCUAACACAUGCAAGUCGAACGAGACCUUCGGGUCUAGUGGCGCACGGGUGCGUAAAGCGUGGGAACCUGCCCUUAGGUUCGGAAUAACUCCCCGAAAGGGGUGCUAAUACCAGAUAAUGUCCUCGGACCAAAGAUUCAUCGCCUUUGGAUGGGCCCGCGUUGGAUUAGCUAGUUGGUAGGGUAAAAGCCUACCAAGGCGACGAUCCAUAGCUGGUCUGAGAGGAUGAUCAGCCACACUGGGACUGAGACACGGCCCAGACUCCUACGGGAGGCAGCAGUGGGGAAUAUUGGACAAUGGGCGGAAGCCUGAUCCAGCAACGCCGCGUGAGUGAUGAAGGCCUUAGAGUUGUAAAGCUCUUUUACCCGGGAUGAUAAUGACAGUACCGGGAGAAUAAGCUCCGGCUAACUCCGUG
rnacentral:rRNA from 1 species